rnacentral:rRNA from 1 species
UACGUAGGGUGCGAGCGUUAAUCGGAAUUACUGGGCGUAAAGCGUGCGCAGGCGGUUUUGUAAGUCUGUCGUGAAAGCCCCGGGCUCAACCUGGGAAUGGCGAUGGAGACUGCAAGGCUUGAAUCUGGCAGAGGGGGUAGAAUUCCACGUGUAGCAGGUGAAAUGCGUAGAGAUGUGGAGGAACACCGAUGGCGAAGGCAGCCCCCUGGGUCAAGAUUGACGCUCAUGCACGAAAGCGUGGGGAGCAAACAGG